rnacentral:piRNA from 1 species
UAUUCAACAAUAUUGAGAGGAUACAUUAAA